UUCACACCCAGUUUUAAGAAACGGUAUAGAAAAAUUUAGUUGUAAGAACUGGAUGCCCGUUUUCCCAGUGGUAAAUCUUAUUUUAAAACAAAACAAAACAAACCACCAUCACCAACAAAACACUAUGAUCCAAUAUCACAACCAGGAUGUUGGCAUUGACACAGUCAAGGUACAGUACUUUCCAUCACUUUGGGAUUCUCCAUGUUACUUUUUUUAUGGCCACAGUUUCUUCUCUCCUGCACCCACCACCUCAAUCUCUGGAAACCUCUAACCUGCUCUCUAUUUCUAUUAUAUUCUUAUUUAUAGAAUAUGGCAUAGCCUUUUAAGAUUUGCCUUUCCCUCAGCACAAUUAUCUGGAAAUGUAUCCAGGUUGUAUCAACAUUAUUCUUUUUCUUGCACAAGAACAUUUCACAUUGUUGGGAGUGGUGAAUGCAUUAUGGUCCUUGAGCUGUCACAGAAGCAAUGCCCCUUCUGAGAACUCUCAGCACAAAGACAUCAAUUUGAGACCCCCCAGUUGCUGCGGUGACACCCUGUUCCAAAGGAGGUUCUGGCUGGGUGCAGUGGUGCAAGCCUGUAAUCCCAGCGGUGGAGGAGGCUGAGGCAGGAGGAUUGCUAGUUCAAAGCCAGCCCCAGCAAUUUAGUGAGGCAUUAAGCAACUCAGUGAGACCCUGUCUCUAAAUAAAAUCAAAAUAGGGCUGGGGAUGUGGCUCAGUGGUCGAGUGCCCCUGAGUUCAAUCCUGGUACCCAAAACAAAACACAACAAAAGGAGGUUCUGUGCCAGACCCAGAAUUAUCAGUUCAAAUGCCAGCUGCCCCCAGGGUAGAGAAUUGUGGGUGCAAUCUGAUAUUUUGAAUUGAGCUAUUUAUACCCUCAUACUCCUCGGUUCUGUUUAUCUUGAAGAAACUUCCUCACGAUAAAUCCUUUUAAUGUUAAAACCUAUAUAAUAAUUCAUAGUCACUGCUUUCCUACCAGAGUUGUUAGUGAACCACUAGGACCCGUCUUUUUCUCUAUUUGUGUGUCUGUCUGUCUUUUCUUCACCCUCUCACCACCCGGUUCAGUUACCUGAAUUAAUGGCCUUGCAGGUCACGGCACCAUAGUUUGGAUGUGCCACCAUUUGCCUAGCCAUUCAUUCAUUCAUGGAAGGACACCUGAAUUGUUUACAAUUUGGAGCUCUUGAGAUUAAAGCUGCUAAAAAUUCAUGUACAGGUUUGUGUAUGAACAUAGAUUUCCCUUUUUCUGGGAUAAAUGGCCAAGAGAGCAAUUGCCAGUGUGUAGUCAUUGUAUAUAUUUUUUUUAAAAGCCACACAUUGUUUUCCGUGGUGGCAGUACCAUUUUACAUACUACCGGGAACACAGAAAUGGCCUAGUUUGUCCACUACCUGUCCCAUUUGGAAAAGUUGAGGAGUAUUAUUUAGAUUCAGCUAGAGGUUCAGGUGUUUGUGGAUUCUUUAACAGAAUUUCUUCUUCCUUCACUUUGUAAAACACUGAUAUUCUGUGUGCUGGGAUAGGGGGUGACAUUAGUGAUAAAAGACAACUGCCAUCCAAAUAAAACAGCCCACCACGUUUUUCCCUCUAGAAUGACAAGAAAGGAAACCAUAUACUUGCUGGACUUCCUACUCAGUUUUAAACAAUAUCAGAAAAGAUGAGGCAUCCCUGGGGCUUCUGAGUGGUGUGUGACAGGAUUUAGGCUGCGACCUUGAUUGGCCAUGGGAACCACACACGUGGGACAAACCAGGAGGUAGGCGACGCCUUCACCAGGCUUCUUGGGAUCGUCACCUGCAGAGAUUCUGUAUGUUGUCUUGUCUGAACCCAACUUGGAUUAAAAUCUGCCUCUAAGAGGGAGAAACUUGGCUUUAAUGUUUGUGACCUCAGUCAUUCUGCAAUUCUCAUUCUUCAAAACAAAACUGAGAAGUAGGAAAGUUGUCUUCAGUCCCCCGUGAUUGCCCGUAGCGUCUUAACCUUGUUUCCACCUCUUCCAGAGGCCCAGUGCCUCCUCAGCUCUCCCUCUCCUCUUCAGCCUUGCCUUUCAAGAACAUCAAAAUCACCUACUGUCUAGCGCCUUAAUUAUUCAUGUUUUACUUAACAUAUGUUUAUAUAGUGCUUACUAUUUGUUAGGCAUUGUCUUGUGAGUUUAUACAUAGGAACUCCAUUAAAACUCACAAUUGAUCCGAGAGUUAGGAAUUAUUAGGGCCUCAACUUCUCAGAUGAAGGAACUUAGGCACAGAGCAGUCAGGUAACUUGCCCGAGGUCCCACAGCUCAUAAGUGACAGAGGUGAGAUACAAGCAUGAGGUUGACUCCAGAAUCCAUGUUCUCCAUUGUCACAUGAAGAUGACUUUCCAUUAUUGACAAAUAUGCCUGAAACUUUUAUUGUUCUCAAGGCCCUUGAUUCCAAAGGACAGAAACCUUCAGGUAAAGAAAUGAAAUAUUUGGUGUGCAAGUGACAUGUAUAGAGGGGCACAACUGCCUUAAUCAUAUCCGAUCCCGUCACUCAGGACCCCCACAAGCAAGAAUUUAGUGCAUGUAACAGCUCUGUCUCAUGCAGAUUCUUUCAGAGAAUUGCAACUAACAUUUCGGAAAAAGAAUUACUAUGGGCCAGAGAAUGUGCUGGAAUUGCAUUUUAUCAACAACAGGGUGGGGCAGGCAGGAGUGAGCAUUUUUAGAGGUUAGCAAAUGGAAGCAUCAGGUGGCUACAUAAUUCAUUAAGUCACACAACUCCAAAACAGAGGUCCCAGUUCCAUCUGAACCCAGUACUUCGUCUCUUUUUACUACACAAAAUUGACUUAAAGGAAGGUCAAAGCUUCUGGUUUUUUGUGUUCUUUAUUUUUGGUCCGAGCGUCAGUUUGGCAAAUGGCAAAGUAAGAAUAGAAGCUUCCAUUUCCUCACCCGUGAGUCAGUUACUCCCCCAGAUUUUCUCAUCUUAGAACAGGCCACCACCCUCACCUCAGGUGCCGGGAUCAAUAACCCAGGACUUUGGCCUUUUAUUUCUUCCUUUUGCCAUCUCUGGUUUGCAAUUUGCCAAUUCCUCUCAUUCUGCUUCCAAAAUGCGUCAUGGGGCUGGGGUUACAGGCACACACCACUGCACCCACCAUAAUACACAUUUUUAAAAGCAGUGUCUAGACCUGUCUGAUAGAUUUUCCUAAAUGGUUUUGGCCCUUUAAGAUUUUUUUUUCCUAUAAAUUAGCAACAAGUACCUAAAAUAGUUUGUCCUCCUUUUAAUUUUCUAAUCUCCUUACUAACAAGAUAGGGAAUAGCUUCCACAGACGUAAAAAGAAGAAGAGGAAAGAUCAUUGGGUCCAAAACCUGUGAUCUGGAUCAUUAGAUGGUGUCCCUUUAAGAUAUGCCUUUUCACAGAGAGGCAGGGGACAGCCACAGGUCUCCCACUCCAUAGGGUUCAAGGCUGGACUCUUCUUCCACAAAAGGUGCCCUGAUGUGUGCACAGAGAUACCAUCACAGCAUCAUUGCAAUAUUUCAAGGACAAUGCCAGGGGCCUGGGUCACAACACCCAAAAACAGACAUUUGAUGGGAAUAUCAUGAUGCCAUUAAAAUAACAGUAGCAAAAAAAAAAUGUUAAAACCCAGGGAAACCAGGAUGCUAUAAGAGUAAGUGUAUACAGACGGCCUCCAAUUGACGUGCACUAGAAUGUGACACCAUAUGUGCUGCCCUCUUGAAGCUUACCUUAGUUCAGGAAUCAUUCCUGAUUGAGACAGACGAGAAUCCUGGGACCAGACAGGACCUCUUUCUUGAUCUAUGGCACCAUGCUAUUGAUCCAUCCCUAAGCUCUUCUUCCUGAUCUAACAUCCUUUCUACAGGGUAGAAAGGACAGUGAAGUGAAUCAAUGAAUUGGAAACACACCAAAAUAUUAAUAUCGUUUAUCAUUGCAGGAUUUUUUUUUAUUCCUCUUUGUUUUGUAAAUAUUCUAACAUUUUUUUUAAAUGAAUACAGUUAUGGCUGGGGAUGUAGCUCAGUGACACAGUGCUUGUUUACCAUGCCUGAAUCCCUGCGUACAGCCCUCAAUACUGAAAAGUAAAAAAUCCAGAGUUCUUGGGCUGGAGAUGUAACUCAGUGGUAGAGCAUGUUAGGCCCUGGGUUUGCUCCCCAGCACCACCAAAUCAAAUAAAAUAAAUAAAACAUAAAAACAUAAACCCCACCAUUAUUCUUUUUUAAAGUUUCCCUGGGAACUUUAAAAAGACAGCGGCUGUGGGCCCACACCUUCCGCCCUGCCCUCGCAAAGGUGUAAAUAAAGAACCACUCGGCGGGUGCCUUCCUUUUGUUGCUUGCUCAACUUUCCCUGUGGGACUAUGCUCUGACCGGAAGUCUGUGGGUGGGGUGCUGCUCUGUUUUUUGUUGCUGUUGUAGCUUCUUUGGGCUGAUAAACUAGCACUUAAAUGUUUCCCUUUUCCAAACCCCCAAAUGACAAGUGUCUUUGUGGUGAGGCGACAGCCCAACUGUCACUGCCAAUACGAACAGUCCUGGGGACACUUAUUUUUAGUUUACUGUCUAAGCAAGUCCUGGGCUGGGUAAUGAGGACCUCAGGGUCCAAAGCCCCAGGAUCCUGUGCAGGGAGCAUUUAAGGAAAAGGAAAGGUGGAGUGACCAGAGCUCUUCUCCAGGUAGACCAGAAAGAAAACCAGAGACCAACAAUCCUCCUUUUACGUGGCUUAAUGUUAUUGAACAUGCUGUAAACAGAAACAUGCUGAGAUUAUUUGAAUAAACGUAAACCCAGGUAGCCUUGGGGAGCUAAUUAUAGCAACAAGGUUGAGGAUAACUCCCAGGGACUGUGGCAGACAGCUGCUACUAUGACCUGCUCAGCCACCUGUUUCCCCUUCAGCUAACAGAACCUUGGAAUUCG
rnacentral:lncRNA from 1 species